GCUUGUCUCAAAGAUUAAGCCAUGCAUGUCUAAGUUUAAAUAGUAAACAGUGAAACUGCGAAUGGCUCAUUACAUCAGUUUUAACAUACAUGAUAGUCACUUCUACUUGGAUAACCGUAGUAAUUCUAGAGCUAAUACAUGCGUCAGAACCCAACUUUACGGAAGGGUCGUGUUUAUUAGAUACAAAACCAACAUCUCGUUGGUGAUUCAUAAUAACCAAGCGAAUCGUCGGUUUACCGACGAUAGAUCGUUCAAGUUUCUGACCUAUCAGCUUUGGUCGGUAGGGUAUUGGCCUACCGAGGCAAUGACGGGUAACGGAGAAUUAGGGUUCGAUUCCGGAGAGGGAGCCUGAGAAACGGCUACCACAUCUAAGGAAGGCAGCAGG
rnacentral:rRNA from 1 species